ACUGUGAUGCAAGGUUUCAUAUCCUGUAAUCGUGCUGAAACAUACCGGCCUCAUCUCAAAGCAGGAGCUACUUACACUCUUCAGAUUUUUUUUGCCACCAGAAGCAAGGAGAUUUAUCGCGUUGCUGAUCAGAGUUUAACAAUUUCAUUCUCCAACGGCUCUGUUCUCCUCCCCUUGACGACGAUGACAUCCCCGUCUCUGUCUCUUUCCCCACAGACAAGUUCAGGUUCCACACACAUGAGGAUUUCCAAGCUAACUGUGGACUCAGGGGCGACCUCUACGAUGUCGUUGGCCACUUGAGGCUGGUGAAUGGACAGUCUCUCAUUGACCGCCCCGUCCUUGAUGAGGCCGAAAUAAUCAGCAUGCGUCAUGUUUUGGUACAUUUGCAGACAAAAUAUUGACCUGUUAUGAAGCUGUACCUUUGAGACCAGGCUGCAAAAGAUUUUUACAAGAAAUUCACAUCCAGUGAAGACACUCCCACUGUUCUUUUGGUCACAACUGUGAACCCAAAAACUAUAGCAGUUAAUCAAUUUUUCCCAUGUCAUAACCCACCCACUGCAAAUACAAACGUUUCCUGUUUUGCCUCAUAACUCUUACUUGAAAUAGACUGGGUCAAUGAUCUCAGGGUUAUGGUUCAUCCUUUGUAAAUUACACUUUCAUUACCCAAAUCUCAUAAGGUUCAUAUUAAUGUCUAACAUUCAUUUAGAUUGCUCUUCACGCAACCUCUAUGUUAAUGCUUGAUAGUUUCAGAAAAGAAUUAAGUUGCGUUUGGUUGCUCAUAUCUCAUAAGUUUAGGCUCAUGUCUUACGUUGAGUUACGUUGCGGUUCAAGAUAUAUGUGGUCAUCUUCUCUCUUUGAAGUUUCAGCCAUUCAUGAAACAGUGUCAUUAACGUGUCUGUUUUAAUGCGGCAACCAAAAAUAGGUAAUUUAGCUCUCAGUUCGAUGUCAUCCUCACGUGUCUUCAUAGACAAAGAUAUCCAGCCCACAAUUGAUUACUUCAACUGGUUGACUUCUAACCCAGAGAUUGCGAAUCGGGUUAAUGCAGAUGAUGUUACUAGGGUUGAGACAAUGACAAUUGGGUAGAUCUUUGCUUACAUCAAGCAGGAAUAUGCCGUGGAAGCUUCUUUCAACUGCAUAGCCACAAUUGAUGACGUUGAGCAUGACAGUGCAUGGUACUAUAUUGCCUGCAGCGGUUGUCAAACUAAGGCCACCAGAGGUCCUUCUUCGUUGAUGUGCGCCAAGUGUGGCAACACUA